UGGCGAACGGGUGCGUAACACGUGGGAAAUCUGCCCGAGGGUGGGAAUAAGCAAUCGAAAGGUUGUCUAAUACCGCAUAAUGCAGCGGCAUCGCAUGGUGCGUUGUUAAAGCAGUGAUGCGCCUUCGGAUGAUCCCGCGCCUGAUUAGCUUGUUGGCAGGUAACGGCCUACCAAGGCGACGAUCAGUAGCCGAUCUGAGAGGAUGACCGGCCACACUGGACUGAGAUACGGCCCAGACUCCUACGGGAGGCAGCAGUGAGGAGUAUUGCGCAAUGGACAAAGUCUGACGCAGCAACGCCGCGUGAAGGAUGAAUGGCUUCGGCUUGUAAACUUCUGUGCAGAGGACGAAUGACCCGAAGAGGGGCUUGACGGUACCCUGAAAGUAAGCACCGGCUACUCCGUGCCAGCAGCCGCGGUAAUACGGAGGGUGCAAGCGUUGUCCGGAUUUACUGGGUUAAAGGGCGUGUAGGCGGAUUUGUGUGUCAUAGGUGAAAGCGGGCGGCUCAACCGUCUCAGUGCCUAUGAAACUGCAAAUCUUGAGUAAAGCAGGGGAUGCUGGAAUUCCCGGUGUAGGGUGGAAUGCGUAGAUAUCGGGAGGAACACCAGUGGCGAAGGCGGGCAUCUGGGCUUUACUGACGCUGAGACGCGAAAGUGCGGGGAGCAAACAGGAUUAGAUACCCUGGUAGUCCGCCCGUAAACGAUGGGCACUAGUCGUCGGGGGUAGACCCCUCGGUGACGCAGUUAACACAAAAGUGCCCCACCUGGGGAGUACGCUCGCAAGGGUGAAACUCAAAUGAAUUGACGGGG
rnacentral:rRNA from 1 species